CCAUUAACCACCACACCACCUACUGGCCUGGAGAAUAACUGCUUUCUGAUUGUUCAUUCUGAAUAGUUUAUGAUAGUGAUAUUUUUUGGAAUAGCUUGGUUUGCUUGAAAAACUUUACAUACCAACUGAUCUAGCACUAGUGAGGGCUAGAUCCUUAUUUUAAUAUUCUUUUUAUUUUCAGGUACCUUAUCAUGAGAAGAACAUCUUCCUUAACCUUUUGGUGCUUUUAUAUUCAUCUUGAAAACAAAAUUAAGAACUCAGGACUUGGCAAGUAUCUGUUCUCUUAGAGUGGGUAGUCCUGCUUCUUUUAUCUAGCCACUUUCCCUUUUCCUGAAAUGUGGAUCUCUCUUCUACACAUUACCUCCGUGAUUUAAAAUAGAAAGGCUGCUUUUCUUUUUGUGUCACCUCUCAAAUUCAACACAGAGAAGCUCCUAGGAUAUAAUUACCCUGCUGACUUCUCCAGGAAGAAAGAAGCAACUGAGAUGGCUCUUCUGUUCCUGUUUGAUUAUGAAGAAAUUAUUUUGCAAGCUGAAGGCUGAUGUUUUGUUGAAAAGGUUGCUUAGGUAGUAGUAUUUAUGAAUUCUUUACCUUUUUUCCGCAAACAAGAAGACUAAAUAAAUAAUAAAUAUGGAUGACUUCAGUGCUUUUUAAAAUUGUCUUCCAGUUUUAGGCACUAUCAUGAUAAGCACAGUUUAGACUGCAACAAUAAAUUCCAAAUACACAGUCUAAUUUGAAAUGAAAGAGAUGCUAAAAAGUUACAUGUAUUUACAACUCAAAGCCCUGGCUCAUCUUGUGACAGCUUUACUGGCUAAGAACACAGUUCCAGUUUUACAGGUAAACUUCUGAGAUGAUAAAGAAUCAUAAAGACAAGACAUCAAGGAGGUUAAUUUCAAAUGCAAAUAAAACAUCACAGUCUCUGUACAAAUACACAUUUUUACAUGUGUAAAUUAUAUACACUUUUGGAUGAGAAGAGAUUUUUCUGAAGAAGAAAGCUGUUGACUUCUUCCUCAGAAGUCUUUGGAUAUGAAAAACGUCAAAUGUUUUCAUUCUGCUAUGGAAGGACCAGACUGUGUAGGAGCUAACUUGCAAGUAUGUGUAGGUUUAAUGGAAGUGUGGGAAAUGCAAACAAACCUGAGUCCAGUGAUGAAAUCUUGUUUACCUCCCUAGGAUGAGAGCCUGCUGCAUCUUUUUUUUUUUUUUUUGGCAGUCUUAUAUAACUCUUGAGUCUUUAUUUCCCAAGUUGCUAAGACUCGGAAGACGUGGCAUAGUGGGUUUUUUUGGAUCCGAAGAUGUGAUGGACCCAACAGAAUGACCUGCCUGGAGCUUUGGAUGCAGAGGAGGUUGUGGGUGUGUGGAUGAGAAAGGUUUCAUAUAACUCCUUUCUCCUAAGAAAAAGAAGCAAUGUGUUUUACAUUAUAUAACUAAUUUUUUAUAAAGGCAUAAAUAAUUCUUCCUUCAGCCCAAGAUAGGUACAUGAAUGUGAUAGAUUAUUCUAGGUGGUACGUUAGGAUGAUAAGACUAGGACUUAGGUAACAUGCCUCAGUUGGAACUGAACUUUCUCAUGGAAUGGUCCUCGGAAGCAGGGUUCCCAAACUUGUGGUUAUAUUAUCACAGAUACUGAAGAAAUUCAGGAUCUGAAAAACCUCAAAACAAGAAAGACAGUUCUAAUAAAAAUGAUGGAUUUUCCUUUUUUCUCAAAAGAGUUAUACCAUAUGAUGAACAAAAUAUAGUAGAAAGCUAUCCUUGCUUCCAAACCAACGGAGGACAUUGUAUGUAUUGUUAUAUCUUUCCAUAAGAAUGAAACCUUUAUUUGUGACUCUAAGUUGAGAAAGAACUUAAAACUUCUUAGGUGAACUUAAGAACAGAUAGUAUUAGAUCAUCUCUGUGUUUUCUGGAAUGUUUGUUCAGGGCUAUGCAAGCUGUGAUACUAGAAACUUAUGGCAGACUUACCAAAAUUUCAGAAUGACAGAAAUGGCCAAAAAUGGGAAAUUUUGAGCAAGCUAAGAUUAGUGAGAUUGCUCAACCAAUUCAAAAUGGGCUAAAAAAGCUUUUAUUUCGUAAAAUAAUCACAUAGAUAAAAUAUAAUUUCCUUUAACUGGGGGCAAUUACUGAAUGAUAAAGCAAGAAAUAACUUUGGAUAAAAGAAGGUUAAAUUUUUCUCUAACCUUCCAGCCACUUCCUGAUGUGUUUCCUUUAGUAUUUUGGAAUUAUUAAAAGACGUAGGUCCCAUUGUAUGUACAAAAUAUCAUAUGGAGAAUCUGUACCUUCCUGUUGUCAGUUAUCCAUAUUCUUUAUGUCCUUUUGGUAAGUUUUUGGGUAGGAUCAUUUGUUGGGAUAGGUUACCUGUACUAGUAAAACUAGCUCUGACUUGCUUGUUUGAACGGGUAUCAGACUCAGCUUUUCCAGAAGCUUUAUAUUUUAUUUCACAAUUCAGAGAACCAGUGUUCAACAUUCUUUUUCAAAUUGUUUCUGCAUUUUCAUGGUGGACACUGGUAGCAUUUAACAAGUGGGUAUAUUCCAGGUGUAGUUUUCUAGUAUUUACAUGUCUGCACUUUUUUCUUUGCUGUCUUGGUCCCCUUCUUGACAAAAGCUAUCAUUUUAGGCAGGAGAUUAUGCCUCAGUCUUCAGCUAUGCCUCCUUAUCCUUUGUUCGCUGGCAGUUUUUAAUUUUGAAAACAAAAAUACGGGAUAUGUGCAAUAGAAAUAUAUAUAUAUAUAAUGUAUAUUUUAAUACUUGUGGACAAAUGUUACAAGUUGUUUAAGAACAACAAAAUCACCAAUGUCUUCCAUUUUGAGAUGUGUAUAGUUUUGUAAGCAUUAGUGCUUGGUAGCAUAUUGUAGUGCCGUGUUAGGGGGUAGUGCAUGAGCCUAGUAAUAAUUUUAAACUUCAGUAUGAAUUAUGGAUAAUAACAAAUAGUAUAAAAAGAGUGGAAAAUCUAGACCUCUUCUUUUUUCAUAUCUGAAUCUGUGAUAUUCUCCCUGGGGAAAGGAGAUGAAGGCCAAAAGACUCACUUAGGAAUAGUAGGGUCACGGUGUGAGACGCUGUCUUUGAGUAUAUGGAUGUUUCCCAUGUGGUAGCUGAGACCAGCUGCCUUUUUGUUCAGGAAACCUUAAAAUGAGGCUCCAUUUCAUGCUUCUGCUUAGCUGUUAGUGUGCAGUGAUCUUCUUAACACUGUCUUCACAUCAUGUAUCUGUUAGUUUCGUUAUCUUCCCAGUGCUUUUAAGAAAUAUUUUACAUUUUGCAUAUCUUCCUGAGAUGCUAGGUUAAUUGCAUCGAUGAGUGUCUGUCCUGCAGACCAUGUGUCACUGGACGAACAGUAGCUCAGAGCCUUAGAUUAUUUGUUAGGAAUCUUCCUAUUUUUGCAUCUGCUCAGCUGUGUAUUGAUGGGGUUCCAGACUUCAUAAGAAUUGGAAAUGUAGCUAGACGGAAGCUACCUAGGUUGCCAGUAUUAGUGGACUCUCCUCCGUAGUGUUCACUCUUUUCUACUUUUGCAAAUAAAACAGCUGUUUCCUCUGAAUAUGCAUAGCUUUCAGUAGAAAGGGAAUUCCUACUUCUAAAAGCUGUCUUGCAAUCUUGGAAGUGGCCAUUUUCUGAGGUAAUUAUUAAAUCAUCAUUAAAGCAAGUCUAGGAUUUGUUGACACAGAUUCUGUAGCUAGAUAAUCAGAAAUGGAAAACUGUAUACCACUAUUUUAAUGUGGUAUAUCUUAUACACAAGUAAGCUAGAACAAGUAGGCUGGCAGAUCUCCAGGGACCCAUGUUUAGAUUCUCAUACUAUACAAAAUAUUUGUACUUUGACUCAAGUAGUUUAGUGCCUGAGAGAAUCCAUUUCUGGAGAGCAUUUAGGAUAAAAAAAAAUACCUCUGAAAAGGUGAUAAAUACAAAAUAGCAUAGUAUAUAGGAAAGGUUAUUUACUGUUGCAAAAAAAAAAAAGCCAUAAAGAACUAGUAAUUUUCAAGAGGUAGAAUUUUAGUAGCAAUAACAGUUUUGCAUGUGUAGUAAACUGCAUUAGCAAGGUUGUUAAGUAGAAAAAGUUACUGCUGGAAUUUGGGCUCUGCAACCAACAGAGUUGUAGGAAGCUAUCUUUUAGGUAAAGAACAAUGGAAGGUACUUUUAGAACAGUAUGAAUG